AGAGUUUGAUCCUGGCUCAGGACGAACGCUGGCGGCGCGCCUAACACAUGCAAGUCGAACGGAGCUUAGAGAGCUUGCUUUUUAAGCUUAGUGGCGAACGGGUGAGUAACGCGUGAGUAACCUGCCCUAGAGUGGGGGACAACAGUUGGAAACGACUGCUAAUACCGCAUAAGCCCACGGUGCCGCAUGGCACAGAGGGAAAAGGAGUAAUCCGCUUUGAGAUGGCCUCGCGUCCGAUUAGCUAGUUGGUGAGGUAACGGCCCACCAAGGCGACGAUCGGUAGCCGGACUGAGAGGUUGAACGGCCACAUUGGGACUGAGACACGGCCCAGACUCCUACGGGAGGCAGCAGUGGGGAAUAUUGCACAAUGGGGGAAACCCUGAUGCAGCGACGCCGCGUGGAGGAAGAAGGUUUUCGGAUUGUAAACUCCUGUCGUUAGGGACGAUAAUGACGGUACCUAACAAGAAAGCACCGGCUAACUACGUGCCAGCAGCCGCGGUAAAACGUAGGGUGCAAGCGUUGUCCGGAAUUACUGGGUGUAAAGGGAGCGCAGGCGGGAAGACAAGUUGGAAGUGAAAACCAUGGGCUCAACCCAUGAAUUGCUUUCAAAACUGUUUUUCUUGAGUAGUGCAGAGGUAGAUGGAAUUCCCGGUGUAGCGGUGGAAUGCGUAGAUAUCGGGAGGAACACCAGUGGCGAAGGCGGUCUACUGGGCACCAACUGACGCUGAGGCUCGAAAGCAUGGGUAGCAAACAGGAUUAGAUACCCUGGUAGUCCAUGCCGUAAACGAUGAUUACUAGGUGUGGGAGGAUUGACCCCUUCCGUGCCGCAGUUAACACAAUAAGUAAUCCACCUGGGGAGUACGACCGCAAGGUUGAAACUCAAAGGAAUUGACGGGGGCCCGCACAAGCAGUGGAGUAU
rnacentral:rRNA from 1 species